GGUGUAUUUUGAAAGAGAGGUUGUAAAAAUGCAGGGAGUUUGUUUAUGGUAUUUUUCAAAGAUUCAUCUUGGGACUGAUUCUAUUUAAUAUUUCCCAUCAGUGACCUUGCUGCAAGGUGUGUGCAUAUGAAAGUUGCAGAUAACCCAGAGCAGAGAGGUGUAACUGAUAUUAAGGUGAAUCUGCCUGUCGGCUAGCUAGAACAAGACGACUGCCAAUAGGAGGCAUCACAAUGAGGAAAAGAGUGAUAUCACAACGGCCUUCAGGUGGGAGCUAACAGUAAGAGCUUCUGCUGGGAACUGGAGGCUCACAUCAUCUGACAGGGAUGCAGAGGUCAGACCUCUGAGUUUGUUAAGAUAAAUGCACUAAUAGUAUUUUUGGCUAUGAGUAAGAGAACACUGUGAAUGUCAAAAAGGUAUUUUCUGUAGAUAUUGGAAAAUCCUGAUAUGGUUAGGAUGAAACACUUUCAAGAUCUUGUCUGGAUUACUGAUAUCAGUCUGACCAUCUGUACUGGAAAAAAGUUUCCAGCUGACUGAUUAUAUUCCCUCUGAAGUUUGAACGAAGAAUUCUUCAGAUAGUUUCAGAGUGGCUUGUUGCAUGCCUUGUAUCUACUCGUGAAAUACAGCUGCAGAGUAUUACUUGGUCAUGGUGAAAAAGUGAAUCUUAGAAGACAUUACCAGGAGGAAGAAUUUUGUUAUUUAUUUUUUUUUCUCUAACCACACACACACACUACAUACUGGCUUUGGGUCUCUGCAAUUUGGACAAAUACUUCAGUAAAAGGAAAUUCUACGUGCUUCGCUUGGGGAGAAUAAUCCAUCCUUUCAACAUUUGGGAUGGAUUUCGAUCUCUAGGCCUUUGAAUUAUUUCCGUCUAGAUUUCAGUAAGACAAGAAAGUACAUGGUGUUCUUGGUGGGCUGUGACCAUUGCCUUUCAAGUUGCUAUCCUUCAGAUCUUCAUUAGUCCUUAGGCUAUCAUUAAAUGCUUGGCAAUGGUUGUAUCUUGUUCUUUGUUGUUAGUGU